CAUAGACCCCUUUAACUGUACUGAGAACUUCUAUAACAUUAUAGAACCUUUUAUGCUAAAACUAGUAACAAGAGUCAACCCCUCUCUACAAUGCAACUACAAGCCAGCAAGAACCCACCACUGGCAACUAACAGAUCUAAACAAGAGUAGCAACUAUACCAGAAAACUCUACUUUACUCACUGUUAACCUUACACUAGAGCAUUUCAAGAAAGAUUAAAAGAAAAAGAAGGAACUCGGCAAACUUUAGCCCCGCCUGUUUACCAAAAACAUCGCCUCUUGUCCAUAUAAGAGGUCCAGCCUGCCCAGUGACUCUUGUUCAACGGCCGCGGUAUCCUAACCGUGCGAAGGUAGCGUAAUCACUUGUCUUCUAAAUAAAGACCAGUAUGAAAGGCAUCACGAGAGCUAAACUGUCUCCUUUCCCUAAUCAGUGAACCUAAUCUCCCCGUGAAGAAGCGGGGGUUAUUAUAUAAGACGAGAAGACCCUAUGGAGCUUUAAACAUCACAACACCUGCCUCACACUUUUAUCUACCCAGGUAUACCCUCUCACAGCACGCUGAUUGUAUGUUUUUGGUUGGGGUGACCGCGGAGAAAAACUAAUCCUCCGCAAUGAAAGGGAUCUUCCCUAAACAAUAAGCCACAACUUUAUGUAUCCACAAAUUGACAUUCAUUGACCCAAUACAUUUGAUUAACGAACCAAGUUACCCUAGGGAUAACAGCGCAAUCCACUUCAAGAGCCCCUAUCGACAAGUGGGCUUACGACCUCGAUGUUGGAUCGGGGUAUCCUAGUGGUGUAGCCGCUACUAAAGGUUCGUUUGUUCAACGAUUAAAACCCUACGUGAUCU
rnacentral:rRNA from 1 species